CAGUCGCCGCGGUAAUACGUAGGGUGCAAGCGUUAAUCGGAAUUACUGGGCGUAAAGCGUGCGCAGGCGGUUUUGUAAGACAGAGGUGAAAUCCCCGGGCUCAACCUGGGAACUGCCUUUGUGUCUGCAAGGCUGGAGUGCGGCAGAGGGGGAUGGAAUUCCGCGUGUAGCAGUGAAAUGCGUAGAUAUGCGGAGGAACACCGAUGGCGAAGGCAAUCCCCUGGGCCUGCACUGACGCUCAUGCACGAAAGCGUGGGGAGCAAACAGGAUUAGAGACCCCCGUAGUCCCUGUCUCUUAUAC
rnacentral:rRNA from 1 species